AGACCAGGAGUCCAUGCCUGAGGAGAGCUGAUGGAGGAGCCGUGCACCUGGAGAACCAUGAGUCUGCCUGCCAACAAGUAGUACUGGAAGGCGGGGCAUAGGGAGGUGAUGGAGGACCUGCCUGGUGAAGGACGUCAGGGUGGGGCGAGUGACACCCGACUCCAAGGGGAUAUCCACUGAGGAGGGAGCUGAAGGAGCCAUGCAUCUGGAAGGUGCAGUUGAAAUGCUGUGUCCAGUCUGGGACGGACAGAUCUGAGCUGCAUCAAACCUGUAUCUCUGACCAGCUGUAGGCCUUUAGUGAUCAACAACUGCCACUCAUCGCUGGCCUGUGGAUUCAUCUCCUUCACACUCACACAAUGUGACCUUGGCCUGUGGAUUCAUCUCCUUCACACUCACACAACGUGACCUUGGCCUGUGGAUUCAUCUCCUCCACACUCACACAACGUGACCUUGGCCUGUGGAUUCAUCUCCUCCACACUCACACAACAGGACUUUGGCCUGUGGAUUCAUCUCCUCCACACUCACGCAACAUGACCUUCUCACCAUCUGUUGCACGUUUGGAUGCACCUAGCGUGUUCCAUCGAGGGUUCCUUCCUCCCCACGGUGGGAGGGUUCCUUGUCCUUCAAGGCGUCGGGGUUCAGUGUUAGGGACAGAGUUAGGGACAGAUGGCUGCGCUGGAUUCACGAUACACGCUUUGUGAUCAAAAUGGGUUCGGACAUCGGACAAAUCGCUUCCCAAAAUGUUUCAAUGUGCAAACGAUUUUAUAAAAUGUAUACUCGUGGUGUUUAUAUAAAAUCGUAUAUAACAA